rnacentral:rRNA from 1 species
CGAACGCUGGCGGCGUGCUUAACACAUGCAAGUCGAACGGUGAAGCGCCUUCCUUUUUGGUGGGUGUGGAUGAGUGGCGAACGGGUGAGUAACACGUGAGUAACCUGCCCCCUUCUUCUGGAUAACCGCAUGAAAGUGUGGCUAAUACGGGAUAUUCUGGGUCUGUCGUAUGAUGGGUCUGGGAAAGAUAUUGUUUCGGUGGGGGAUGGGCUCGCGGCCUAUCAGCUUGUUGGUGGGGUGAUGGCCUACCAAGGCGGUGACGGGUAGCCGGCCUGAGAGGGUGGCGGGUCAACUGGGACUGAGACACGGCCCAGACUCCUACGGGAGGCAGCAGUGGGGAAUAUUGCACAAUGGGCGCAAGCCUGAUGCAGCGACGCCGCGGGAGGGAUGGAGGCCUUCGGGUUGUGAACCUCUUUCGCCAGUGAAGCAGGCCUGCCUCGUUUGUGGGUGGGUUGACGGUAGCUGGAUAAGAAGCGCCGGCUAACUACGUG